rnacentral:rRNA from 1 species
GGUUAAGCGACUAAGCGUACACGGUGGAUGCCCUGGCAGUCAGAGGCGAUGAAGGACGUGCUAAUCUGCGAAAAGCGUCGGUAAGGUGAUAUGAACCGUUAUAACCGGCGAUGUCCGAAUGGGGAAACCCAGUGUGAUUCGUCACACUAUCGUUAACUGAAUACAUAGGUUAACGAGGCGAACCGGGGGAACUGAAACAUCUAAGUACCCCGAGGAAAAGAAAUCAACCGAGAUUCCCCCAGUAGCGGCGAGCGAACGGGGAGCAGCCCAGAGUCUGAAUCAGCUUGUGUGUUAGUGGAACGGUCUGGAAAGUCCGACGGUACAGGGUGAUAGUCCCGUACACCAAAAUGCACAGGUUGUGAACUCGAAGAGUAGGGCGGGACACGUGGUAUCCUGUCUGAAUAUGGGGGGACCAUCCUCCAAGGCUAAAUACUCCUGACUGACCGAUAGUGAACCAGUACCGUGAGGGAAAGGCGAAAAGAACCCCGGCGAGGGGAGUGAAAAAGAACCUGAAACCGUGUACGUACAAGCAGUGGGAGCACCUUUAUGGUGUGACUGCGUACCUUUUGUAUAAUGGGUCAGCGACUUAUAUUCUGUAGCAAGGUUAACCGUAUAGGGGAGCCGCAGGGAAACCGAGUCUUAACUGGGCGUUAAGUUGCAGGGUAUAGACCCGAAACCCGGUGAUCUAGCCAUGGGCAGGUUGAAGGUUGGGUAACACUAACUGGAGGACCGAACCGACUAAUGUUGAAAAAUUAGCGGAUGACUUGUGGCUGGGGGUGAAAGGCCAAUCAAACCGGGAGAUAGCUGGUUCUCCCCGAAAGCUAUUUAGGUAGCGCCUCGUGAAUUCAUCUUCGGGGGUAGAGCACUGUUUCGGCUAGGGGGUCAUCCCGACUUACCAACCCGAUGCAAACUACGAAUACCGAAGAAUGUUAUCACGGGAGACACACGGCGGGUGCUAACGUCCGUCGUGAAGAGGGAAACAACCCAGACCGCCAGCUAAGGUCCCAAAGUCAUGGUUAAGUGGGAAACGAUGUGGGAAGGCACAGACAGCCAGGAUGUUGGCUUAGAAGCAGCCAUCAUUUAAAGAAAGCGUAAUAGCUCACUGGUCGAGUCGGCCUGCGCGGAAGAUGUAACGGGGCUAAACCAUGCACCGAAGCUGCGGCAGCGACACUAUGUGUUGUUGGGUAGGGGAGCGUUCUGUAAGCCUGCGAAGGUGACCUGUGAGGGUUGCUGGAGGUAUCAGAAGUGCGAAUGCUGACAUAAGUAACGAUAAAGCGGGUGAAAAGCCCGCUCGCCGGAAGACCAAGGGUUCCUGUCCAACGUUAAUCGGGGCAGGGUGAGUCGACCCCUAAGGCGAGGCCGAAAGGCGUAGUCGAUGGGAAACAGGUUAAUAUUCCUGUACUUGGUGUUACUGCGAAGGGGGGACGGAGAAGGCUAUGUUAGCCGGGCGACGGUUGUCCCGGUUUAAGCAUGUAGGCUGGUUAUCCAGGCAAAUCCGGAUAAUCAAGGCUGAGGUGUGAUGACGAGGCACUACGGUGCUGAAGUAACAAAUGCCCUGCUUCCAGGAAAAGCCUCUAAGCAUCAGGUAACAUCAAAUCGUACCCCAAACCGACACAGGUGGUCAGGUAGAGAAUACCAAGGCGCUUGAGAGAACUCGGGUGAAGGAACUAGGCAAAAUGGUGCCGUAACUUCGGGAGAAGGCACGCUGGUGUGUAGGUGAAGCCCCUGCGGGUGGAGCUGAGACCAGUCGAAGAUACCAGCUGGCUGCAACUGUUUAUUAAAAACACAGCACUGUGCAAACACGAAAGUGGACGUAUACGGUGUGACGCCUGCCCGGUGCCGGAAGGUUAAUUGAUGGGGUUAUCCGUAAGGAGAAGCUCUUGAUCGAAGCCCCGGUAAACGGCGGCCGUAACUAUAACGGUCCUAAGGUAGCGAAAUUCCUUGUCGGGUAAGUUCCGACCUGCACGAAUGGCGUAAUGAUGGCCAGGCUGUCUCCACCCGAGACUCAGUGAAAUUGAACUCGCUGUGAAGAUGCAGUGUACCCGCGGCAAGACGGAAAGACCCCGUGAACCUUUACUAUAGCUUGACACUGAACAUUGAGCCUUGAUGUGUAGGAUAGGUGGGAGGCUUUGAAGCGUGGACGCCAGUCUGCGUGGAGCCAACCUUGAAAUACCACCCUUUAAUGUUUGAUGUUCUAACGUUGGCCCCUUAUCGGGGUUGCGGACAGUGUCUGGUGGGUAGUUUGACUGGGGCGGUCUCCUCCCAAAGCGUAACGGAGGAGCACGAAGGUUAGCUAAUCCUGGUCGGACAUCAGGAGGUUAGUGCAAUGGCAUAAGCUAGCUUGACUGCGAGCGUGACGGCGCGAGCAGGUGCGAAAGCAGGUCAUAGUGAUCCGGUGGUUCUGAAUGGAAGGGCCAUCGCUCAACGGAUAAAAGGUACUCCGGGGAUAACAGGCUGAUACCGCCCAAGAGUUCAUAUCGACGGCGGUGUUUGGCACCUCGAUGUCGGCUCAUCACAUCCUGGGGCUGAAGUAGGUCCCAAGGGUAUGGCUGUUCGCCAUUUAAAGUGGUACGCGAGCUGGGUUUAGAACGUCGUGAGACAGUUCGGUCCCUAUCUGCCGUGGGCGCUGGAGAAUUGAGGGGGGCUGCUCCUAGUACGAGAGGACCGGAGUGGACGCAUCACUGGUGUUCGGGUUGUCAUGCCAAUGGCACUGCCCGGUAGCUAAAUGCGGAAGAGAUAAGUGCUGAAAGCAUCUAAGCACGAAACUUGCCCCGAGAUGAGUUCUCCCUGAGACUUUAAGUCUCCUGAAGGAACGUUGAAGACGACGACGUUGAUAGGCCGGGUGUGUAAGCGCAGCGAUGCGUUGAGCUAACCGGUACUAAUGAACCGUGAGGCUUAACCUU